rnacentral:rRNA from 1 species
CCUACGGGGGGCAGCAGUGGGGAAUAUUGCGCAAUGGGCGAAAGCCUGACGCAGCGACGCCGCGUGAGGGAUGAAGGUCUUCGGAGCGUAAACCUCUAUCAGCAGGGAAGAACGGUCACUGUGCUAAUCAGCAGUGAAUUGACGGUACCUGCAAAGGAAGCACCGGCUAACUCCGUGCCAGCAGCCGCGGUAAUACGGAGGGUGCGAGCGUUAAUCGGAAUUACUGGGCGUAAAGCGCGCGUAGGCGGUAUGUCAAGUCAAGGGUGAAAUCCCCGCGCUCAACGUGGGAACUGCCGUUGAAACUGGCAAACUGGAGUGUGUGAGAGGAUAGUGGAAUUCCAGGUGUAGGAGUGAAAUGCGUAGAUAUUGGGAGGAACAUCAGUGGCGAAGGCGACUAUCUGGCACAUAACUGACGCUGAGGAGCGAAAGCGUGGGUAGCAAACAGGAUUAGAUACCCGAGUAGUC